AGAUUUGACCUCAUUGUGGCAUCUGAGAAGUGAGGCUGGUGGGAGGCUUUAGGCCCUUGGGCACUUUCCUGGGAAGGUAAUUCUUCUGAGCGGUUGGGUUUUACAAGCAGGUGUGCUUCCUGUGCCUCUUCCUCCUGGCUCCCCUGGUGAUUGUUCCUCCUCACUCCCUCCACCCUGCCAGCCUCCACCAGAUGUCAGACUAAUGGGGCCAUCUGAUCUUCACCUGUGAACCUCCAAACCAUCAGCCAAAACAAGCUUUCUCCUUCCCAAGAUGCUCCUCUCAGCACCUGGCACAGCAUUGAGAACAUCACUGGUGCUCGGGCAAUAAUGCUAGCUGAAGAAUGUGCUCUUCUCUGCCAUCCAGGAGAGCGUGGCCUUGGAUGUUUAUUCCUUGAAACCCCUGCUUAGAAAUAAACACAGAAACAGUCACAUGGACACAGGACAGUGUUUUUACUUUUCAGUUUCUCUGCAGACUGUCUAAGCUGUGGUUCAGAGCUUAACUGUGGUUAAAGAAUGCCUGCUUUUGUGUUAAACAACCCUUAGUGAUAGAUUUCGUUUUUUCAUAGGUGCAGGUUCAAACACUCUGGGGGAAGGUUGCUUGACUUCCACUUGUGUAUGCAUAUCAGUACAGAUUAAUAUUUUUAAUUGGCUUCUAAGUUCUUUUUCUCAGUAUUUUGCAGGAACUUUAUCUUUUUUGUUAGAAGUCAUAUUGAUUUUCCCCAUUCAUCUAAAAGACCACCACUGCACAGGUCAGCAGACCCAAAUAAUAAAUGCAUUUGACACAGAGACUAUAAAAAUUAUUUUGUUUUCUGCCCACACCAAGAAUGUAUUGCCUACGCAUAAUUAAGCAGGAAAAUUAGUGUAUGAGAAUUGUAGGUCUGCCCCGAGUGCAUGGAGAUAAGUUAUAAAAAUAAAAAUCAAGUUGACUAGCUAACUUCUACUCUUUCUUUUCUCCCCCCACCCCCCAGGGGCAAAUGCUGAGCCUAAUUCUUCCAAUGACUUGAGAAAGAAAUGCAGCAUCAGUCACGAUUCUCGGUCUCACACUGCCACCUGUUGGUUCACUGUUCUUUUUCCCUAAAGCAACUUCAGGCAGUGUGAAUUCAACCCGGUGACGAGUGCGUCUUUCCCUUCGAAAGCAUCAUCUGUACCAAAUUGUACAAUCUGGCAUCUGCUUUGACAACUUUAGCAAGCAAUCAUUUUGACAGGAGACCAUCUGUGUUAAACAAUACACACAAUGUCUGCGUGAAACAGAAAGGAAAAGAACAGUGUCUAACAACAGUGAUGGUCUGAAAUGACCCAGC